GACGAACGCUGGCGGCGUGCUUAACACAUGCAAGUCGAACGGUGAAGCGCCUUCCUUUUUGGUGGGUGUGGAUGAGUGGCGAACGGGUGAGUAACACGUGAGUAACCUGCCCCCUUCUUCUGGAUAACCGCAUGAAAGUGUGGCUAAUACGGGAUAUUCUGGGUCUGUCGCAUGAUGGGUCUGGGAAAGAUAUUGUUUCGGUGGGGGAUGGGCUCGCGGCCUAUCAGCUUGUUGGUGGGGUGAUGGCCUACCAAGGCGGUGACGGGUAGCCGGCCUGAGAGGGUGGACGGUCACACUGGGACUGAGGCACGGCCAAGACUCAUACGGGAGGCAGCAGGGGGGAAUAGUGCACAAUGGGCGCAAGCCUGAUGCAGCGACGCCGCGUGAGGGAUGGAGGCCUUCGGGUUGUGAACCUCUUUCGCCAGUGAAGCAGGCCUGCCUCGUUUGUGGGUGGGUUGACGGUAGCUGGAUAAGAAGCGCCGGCUAACUACGUG
rnacentral:rRNA from 1 species